rnacentral:rRNA from 1 species
UAAAACGUAGGGGACAAGCGUUAUCCGGAUUUACUGGGCGUAAAGCGCCCGUAGGCGGCUUUUUAAGUUGGACGUGAAAGCUCCCGGCUUAACUGGGAGAGGCCGUUCAAAACUGAGAGGCUAGAGUGAGGCAGAGGAGCGAGGAAUUCCUGGUGUAGUGGUGGAAUGCGUAGAUAUCGG